GACGAACGCUGGCGGCGUGCCUAAUACAUGCAAGUCGAGCGGAAGUUGGAGAGCUUGCUCUUCAACUUUAGCGGCGGACGGGUGAGUAACACGUGGGCAACCUGCCCUGCAGAUCGGGAUAACUCCGGGAAACCGGUGCUAAUACCGAAUAGUUUUCGCCACCUCCUGGUGGCGUACGGAAAGACGGUUUCGGCUGGCACUGCAGGACGGGCCCGCGGCGCAUUAGCUAGUUGGUGGGGUAACGGCCCACCAAGGCGACGAUGCGUAGCCGACCUGAGAGGGUGAUCGGCCACACUGGGACUGAGACACGGCCCAGACUCCUACGGGAGGCAGCAGUAGGGAAUCUUCCGCAAUGGACGAAAGUCUGACGGAGCAACGCCGCGUGAGUGACGAAGGUUUUCGGAUCGUAAAACUCUGUUGUGAGGGAAGAACAAGUACCAAUUAACUACUGGUACCUUGACGGUACCUCACCAGAAAGCCACGGCUAACUACGUGCCAGCCGCCGCGUAAUAC
rnacentral:rRNA from 1 species